AAUGAACGCUGGCGGUAGGCCUAACACAUGCAAGUCGAACGGCAGCACAGUAAGAGCUUGCUCUUACGGGUGGCGAGUGGCGGACGGGUGAGGAAUACAUCGGAAUCUACUUUUUCGUGGGGGAUAACGUAGGGAAACUUACGCUAAUACCGCAUACGACCUACGGGUGAAAGCAGGGGAUCUUCGGACCUUGCGCGAUUGAAUGAGCCAAUGUCGGAUUAGCUAGUUGGCGGGGUAAAGGCCCACCAAGGCGACGAUCCGUAGCUGGUCUGAGAGGAUGAUCAGCCACACUGGAACUGAGACACGGUCCAGACUCCUACGGGAGGCAGCAGUGGGGAAUAUUGGACAAUGGGCGCAAGCCUGAUCCAGCCAUACCGCGUGGGUGAAGAAGGCCUUCGGGUUGUAAAGCCCUUUUGUUGGGAAAGAAAAGCAGCAGGUUAAUACCCCGCUGUUCUGACGGUACCCAAAGAAUAAGCACCGGCUAACUUCGUG
rnacentral:rRNA from 1 species